UGAUACGCCUUAAAAGGAUCACUCGACCGGAUUUGGAAAAGAUAUGAACUCCAAGAGGAGAUCUGAUGGAAUGAGGGGUCGCACAAAGGUUGCGGAGUGGCCUUUGAUAUUCUCGAACCAGAUUGUUGCCGGAUGUGACUCACCGGUCCAACAAAGAGGCAAUCUUGAACCGUUGCUUGAUAUGACUCACAAGACCAACGGACAAGGGCGUUUGCUUGGAGCUAACCACACCAAGAAAACUAGAAAAGUUCUAAGCAAAGAACAAAGAGUAAGACUCAAAAAGUUUAAAGAAAAUGGAAUGAUCUUAUUGAUAGAAGUUUUUACAUAUUUAUACUACAUGAGGAAUAGAAA
rnacentral:lncRNA from 1 species